ensembl:lncRNA
AUGCAUGAUCUCAUUUAACUUUGAUUUCCUCUUUUUCCAGGACGGCAUCCUCGAUGGUUCCAAUUUCCAGCCCAUUCCCCAAUUUUCAACCCCAAUGACAGACAACACACGCUCGAAUGGGUGCUUUGCUAAAGAAGGGAAUUGUGCUCCUCUCAUCAUCCCAGUUGUUCAAGCAAAAAACAAAUAAACCCCAUAAAAGGGAUGGAGAGGCCUCUUGUAUGUGUGUGUGUGUCCAUACGCACUGUGCACCGGGCCAUAGGGGCAGGGCUGUGAUGGUUUAAACAUGGAGGUCUUGUAGUGCAAAACUGGAGUCACACCUGUUUCCUCCUAUUGGCUCAACACGAUGGGACCCUAAGGGCAAUGAAA